rnacentral:misc_RNA from 1 species
AAAGGAUGCAGUACUAGAACUCA